UAAUACCAGCCCCUCGAGUGGUGGGGAUGAUUAUUGGGCCUAAAGCGUCCGUAGCCUGCCGUGUAAGUUUCCCGUUAAAUCCAGCGUCUUAAGCGUUGGACCGCGGGAAAUACUGUACGGCUAGAGAGUGGGAGAGGUCAGCGGUAUUCUGGGGGUAGGGGCGAAAUCCUUUGAUCCCCGGAGGACCACCAGUGGCGAAGGCUGCUGUCUAGAACACGUCUGACGGUCAGGGACGAAAGCUGGGGUAGCGAACCGGAUUAGAUACCCGGGUAGUCCCAGCCGUAAACGAUGCAUGCUAGGUGUUGGGUUGGCCACGAGCCACCCCAGUGCCGCAGGGAAGCCGUUAAGCAUGCCGCCUGGGAAGUACGAUCGCAAGGUUG
rnacentral:rRNA from 1 species